rnacentral:rRNA from 1 species
CGAACGUUGGCGGCGUGGAUUAGGCAUGCAAGUCGAACGAGAAAGCGCUCUUCGGAGCGUGAGUACAGUGGCGAACUGGUGAGUAACAGGUGGGUAAUGUGCCUCAUGGUGGGGGAUAGCCUUUGGAAACAGAGGGUAAUACCGCAUAUGGCUCUUUGGAUAUUGGUCUAAAGGGUUAAAGGCUCAUCUUCGGAUGAGUCGCCAAGAGAGCAGCCCGCUCCCGAUUAGCUUGUUGGUGGGGUAAUGGCCUACCAAGGCGACGAUCGGUAGGUGGCCUGAGAGGGUGGUCACCCACACUGGGACUGAGAUACGGCCCAGACUCCUACGGGGGGCAGCAGUCUAGAAGCUUCCACAAUGGACGAAAGUCUGAUGGAGCGACGCCGCGUGCGGGAUUGAAGGCCGUAAGGUUGUAAACCGCUGUCAGCAGGGAAGAAUGCCCGGAUGGUGAAUCCGGGAGAGACGGUACCUGCAGAGGAAGCCCCGGCUAAAUCC